GGAAAGAGAAGGGGGGGGGAAGACAUGCAGCAAAUGGCCGCAAGUCGGACUCGAAACCUGAGCCGCUGCAUA